UCCAUGCUGCUGUCACUGCUAGGUUAUGAGGUCCUGCUGCAGCUGGCGAUUUCAAGGUGGUUACAUCAGUAGGAAUCGGGCUAACCAGGCUCUCUGUUCUCUGCUUUGGCCCUGGUUAGUCUUAAACUGGAGGGCUGAUGUGCUCUGCCAGCCAGCUCAGUGCUGCUCUGCCGCCAGGUUAGGAAGUUCUACUGUAACUGGAGACUGGGUUGCUAGUCCAGAUGCUUUCUGGGAAGUACUGGGGGCUCUCCAUUGUGCUCUCCAAGCUCGAGAGGCCCAGCGCCUGUUGUGCCUAGCUUGUAUGGCAUUCCUGCCUGGUUUUGGGUGGCUGGUCAGUGAUCACUCAAGAUCAACCUGAUUUUUUCCCCUACUCCUGGGACAACAGGCAUUCAAGGCCAUGUUGAACUUUUAUAGUCUCAUAUGCAGUCCAGACUGACUCUGAACUCACUAUGUAGCCCAGGCUAAGCUGAAAUCCACAGCAUUCCUCAUGCCUCCCCAUGCAGCUCCGGUAUUAUACAUACACCACCAUACUUGACUUUAUCCUGUUUUAUAUGUACUUUUUAUCUUAGAGCCCAAGAUUGAGCUGAUGUAUACUCUUUUCUGAAGAGCUGUGAAUCUGAGGGAGAGGGGAGGUGGGAAGAAAUGGAAGAGGGGAGGAAGGGAAGGCUG